CAUGCCUAUAAUCCCAGCCCUUUGGGAGGCUGGGGUGGGUGGAUUUUUUGAGCCCAGCUUCCCAAAGGGCUGGGAUUAUAGGCAUU
rnacentral:pre_miRNA from 1 species